GGUUCCGUAGCUCAAUUGGCAGAGCAGUUGACUCUUAAUCAAUUGGUUCUGGGUUCGAGUCCCAGCGGAAUCACAA
rnacentral:tRNA from 1 species